CGACGACUCUGGUAUUGAUUGGUGCUUGCAUCAUGAUUUACAUUUGAGUGAGUGGCGAACUGGUGAGUAACACGUGGGAAACCUGCCCAGAAGCGGGGGAUAACACCUGGAAACAGAUGCUAAUACCGCAUAACAACUUGGACCGCAUGGUCCGAGUUUGAAAGAUGGCUUCGGCUAUCACUUUUGGAUGGUCCCGCGGCGUAUUAGCUAGAUGGUGGGGUAACGGCUCACCAUGGCAAUGAUACGUAGCCGACCUGAGAGGGUAAUCGGCCACAUUGGGACUGAGACACGGCCCAAACUCCUACGGGAGGCAGCAGUAGGGAAUCUUCCACAAUGGACGAAAGUCUGAUGGAGCAACGCCGCGUGAGUGAAGAAGGGUUUCGGCUCGUAAAACUCUGUUGUUAAAGAAGAACAUAUCUGAGAGUAACUGUUCAGGUAUUGACGGUAUUUAACCAGAAAGCCACGGCUAACUACGUGCCAGCAGCCGCGGUAAUACGUAGGUGGCAAGCGUUGUCCGGAUUUAUUGGGCGUAAAGCGAGCGCAGGCGGUUUUUUAAGUCUGAUGUGAAAGCCUUCGGCUCAACCGAAGAAGUGCAUCGGAAACUGGGAAACUUGAGUGCAGAAGAGGACAGUGGAACUCCAUGUGUAGCGGUGAAAUGCGUAGAUAUAUGGAAGAACACCAGUGGCGAAGGCGGCUGUCUGGUCUGUAACUGACGCUGAGGCUCGAAAGUAUGGGUAGCAAACAGGAUUAGAUACCCUGGUAGUCCAUACCGUAAACGAUGAAUGCUAAGUGUUGGAGGGUUUCCGCCCUUCAGUGCUGCAGCUAACGCAUUAAGCAUUCCGCCUGGGGAGUACGGCCGCAAGGCUGAAACUCAAAGGAAUUGACGGGGGCCCGCACAAGCGGUGGAGCAUGUGGUUUAAUUCGAAGCUACGCGAAGAACCUUACCAGGUCUUGACAUACUAUGCAAAUCUAAGAGAUUAGACGUUCCCUUCGGGGACAUGGAUACAGGUGGUGCAUGGUUGUCGUCAGCUCGUGUCGUGAGAUGUUGGGUUAAGUCCCGCAACGAGCGCAACCCUUAUUAUCAGUUGCCAGCAUUAAGUUGGGCACUCUGGUGAGACUGCCGGUGACAAACCGGAGGAAGGUGGGGAUGACGUCAAAUCAUCAUGCCCCUUAUGACCUGGGCUACACACGUGCUACAAUGGAUGGUACAACGAGUUGCGAACUCGCGAGAGUAAGCUAAUCUCUUAAAGCCAUUCUCAGUUCGGAUUGUAGGCUGCAACUCGCCUACAUGAAGUCGGAAUCGCUAGUAAUCGCGGAUCAGCAUGCCGCGGUGAAUACGUUCCCGGGCCUUGUACACACCGCCCGUCACACCAUGAGAGUUUGUAACACCCAAAGUCGGUGGGGUAACCUUUA
rnacentral:rRNA from 1 species